ACAUAAAAUUUACAGUAACUGCUUGGCUAGUAUUUACAAUAAGAGAUAGAUUAAUACUUCGGUCCACUUAGAGAUACGAAGAUGAUAAAGGAAUCAUGAGCCUGACAUAUGUGAAAAUAAUAGUUUUCGGUAAAAGAAUUAAGCUGUGACGCUAUCCCAAUAUGAAAUAUUUUAAAUGCGAAUCUUAAAACCGUGACAAAACGAAAUAUGGAACUAAUAAACUUUGAAAGAGGAGUGAUGUUUCCAAUGCGACUGUUCGUAUGACAAAAAGAUAUAAAGAGGGGAAAUGCCAAGUUGAGUGAGAAGCAGACAUCAUAUUAAAGGUUAAAAUAAUUACCAUAAUGAAUACUCGCAAAAUGUUUAAGGAAAACAGAAACUUAUACUAAAAGACAUAUACACAUAGGUCCUAUUUUGAAAAUAAAGUAAUUUUAAAUCUAAAUUGUAAGGAAGGUAAUUAUUACAUUAUUCUAUAUAAAGCGGCUGAUAUUCACUAGAAAAG